AUGCUCGUUUUGGCAGCACAUAUACUAAAAUUGGAACGAUACAGAGAAGAUAGCAUGACCCCUGUGCAAUGAUGACACCCAAAUUCAUGAAGCGUUCCAUAUUAAA